rnacentral:rRNA from 1 species
GACAGGAGGUGCCAAGCGUUAGGCGGAAUCACUGGGCUUAAAGCGUGUGUAGGCGGAAUGGUAAGUACCUUGUGAAAUCCCACGGCUCAACCGUGGAACUGCUUGGUAUACUGCUUUUCUUGAGCCACUUAGGGGCAAAACCGGAAAACAAAACGGUGGGAGCGGUGAAAAUGCGUAGAUAUCGUUUGGAAACGCCAAAUGGUGAAACAGGGUUUGCUGGGAGUGUGCAUGACGCUGAGACACGAAAGCCCCAGGGGAGCAAAACGGGGAU